rnacentral:rRNA from 1 species
AUGGAUAUUCAACCCGGGUCACAGAAAAGAUUGGUUGAUCUUUCGGGCACUCCUGACCAGAUAAGCAGAGCUGAGCAGUUGAUAAGUGAUGUUCUUGCAGAGGCUGAUGCUGGCUCAUUUGGCACUAUCUCUAAUUGGAAGUACAAUGCACCUCAACCUAGUGCUGAGCAAUCCCGGAUGCAAAUUGCUAACAAAAGGUAA